AAAAUCCUUAACAAGAUCUAUCCGUCAGAUUUGCGAAUGGAUCAUAUCAGUGCGAUCAGCACAACGGAGACAACAAACCCAUCAUUUCGUUUCGCCUCAAUCGGUCACAGAUUUGCGACGAAACCCUAUCUCUCUCCGUAAGGCGAAAAGACACACUUAUACAUAUAAACAUGUAUUUUCAGAUUUUUUCGAAAUUCGUGCGUCAAACCCAAAAUCUAUCAGCACCAUUGGUUCCAGAAUGACUGAACCGUUCGAAACAAGCUAUUGGAUCGCUAUGAACGGAGUCGAAUACGCGCCAGAAGCCAACUUCGUGCUUUGGCCUCUUCGAAAAACCGAGUUACUAUUCACUUUAAGUGAGUACUGAAGAUCGCGUAAAAGCUCCGUUUUAACUCGUUUUCUCCCGAAACUUGACGAGUGCUUUUGUAAUUAAAUUACACACAAAAACAUCAUCAACAGAGAGUUUAGCUACACUGUCAAAAUCUCGGUCCUUACAAGCGACUACAUAAUUCCUUACGAAGCACCGUCGGAAGAAAUCCGAACCGAACCCACGUUCCGUCGACGGAUUUCGUCGAGAAACGCACCGAAAAUCACUUU
rnacentral:lncRNA from 1 species